AGUAAAGUAACGCAUUACAUUUAAAAUAUCGGUAACUACACUACUUUACUAGACUAUAGUAACGCGCUUUCCUGCGUUACCCAAGCUGUGUUUGCCUGCGUUCCUCCCUGGAUCAUGUGUCCACCACCGCGGACAUUUGGUCCGCCAACAACAAAAGUUACUUAGGAAUGACGCUGCACUGGAUAGACAGCAUUACUUUAAAACUUGAGAAGGCUGCUCUUGCCUGCAAGAGGGUGUGAGGAAGACACACUUACGAUGUCAUAGCUUGUGAAAUAGAUCAGGUUCAUUCAGCCUUCGGACCACAUAAAGUAACAGCAUGUGCCACCGCCGCUUAAGUGCAUUUCUGUUUUAAUUAUAUGGGAUAAAGUGACCUUUUUAUAUUUUUCAUUGACCACUUAAUUUUUGUUCUCAUGUUUCCCAAAGCCUGUGUUUUGAAUCUUGUGUGUUGCUACUGAUUGACCUCACCAUAACCUAGGCUACAUUAACCUUGAUGAUAGGGCUAUGAUGUUUGCCCAUGUAUCUACAGUAAAUUAAGAAACGGGAUUGUAAAGUAAUAAGUAGUGAAGUUACUUUUCAAAUACAGUAACUAGUAAAGUAAUCUCAUUACAAUUUACAGAAGUAACUAGUAAUAAGUAACUAAUUACUUUU